GACACAACUUGCAUUUCG
rnacentral:snRNA from 1 species